rnacentral:misc_RNA from 1 species
GAGUACUUUGUCUAACAUCAAAACCAUUGAGACCAUCAGUGACAUUGGUGCUUGCGUGGCUGUGGACAACAUCCAUCAGAACUCGUAGACCUAAGCUGUGAGCUUUAUCAAUUAGAUACUUGAGGUCCUCAGGUGUUCCUGAUCUGCUGCUAACAGCAAAGAAGUUUGUGACAUGAUAGCCGAAAGAUCCAUAAUACGAAUGCUCCAUGAUAGCCAUCAAUUGAACAGUAUUAUAGUUGUU